UUCAUGUCCAACCAUAAUUUAA
rnacentral:sRNA from 1 species